ensembl:lncRNA
GCCUGCAUCGCUUAAGCUAUGACAGGAGUGUGAGCGCUGACAUUUGUUUAUCCCCCUUGUUCAGUAGAUCACUGCUGUGCUGAGCUGUAGGGGAAGAUUGACUCAACAGGUGGACGGAGAAAAUUAAAGAUAAAUCAUUUUGGUGAGUUCUUCCUAGUCAAAGGCCAGAUGACAAAUAAGGGUUUACAUGCAUCGAAGGUCGUUUCUAGAAGCAGCAUUCUGCAUCCUGGCAUCCAAGCUAUUCAGAUUCACAAAUGUUUGAAGAAAAGGAUGAAGAGGGUGAUCUGAUUUACUCCAUGAAGAUAAUGUGCUAUGCUUUCCUGUCUGGAUGCUUUGGCCUCAUUUGGUCCUCUCUCCCCUGAGUGACUAAUAGUCUAAGCAGUUGGCUCAACACGUGAAAGAAAUUUCUUUACUCCAUGCUCCUAGCUUCCACGCUUUUACGAUAACUUUCUGAAAAGAUGCUCUGUUGUCCCCACACUUGAGCCACGGUUUAUAUUCAUUACUUUACCUGGAUUUACUUACUGCCCCAUUCCCUGUCGCCCGGGGCAUCAAACACUUUGUAGGAACACAAACACUCAGUUACCCCCAAAUAACUGUCUAUGCAUAGUGCAGUUCUAGACACCCUGUUUGUCCGGUCAACUAACUUCCAUUUUUACACUAAACUCUAAAUUUUGAUAAUAUAUCUUGUUGUUUAUGGAAUCCUUGAGAUUCAUCAUGCCAUUCUUCAUAUGGCAUGAAUGAAGAUUUAUUAUAAUUAGCCAUUGAUCGAAUUAAAUAAUAAAAAAAACACAGCUGUUUUUGACCUCCUCAAAGAAGGAACAAAAUUCCAUCCGUAACUGAUGUGCACCGUGCACGAUCCAUACAGAUAUCUUAGUUGUACUAAAAUUUUGGUUGCGAGAUGCAUAUGGUACAGAAUGCACAGCUUUGGCAAGAUUCAUCUUCAGGAAGCUUAAAUGACCAGCCCCCUGCCUCCUGAAGCUUUUUCCAGAGAAUUGCUUCCAAAACAGCUUCAGGAAUAAUUGAUGACUCCAGAUGAUCUCUCUUCAAUCAAACCCUUCAGACAGAUCCAGUCAAAACUGCAGUCAAACUCUGAGCCUUCUGAGCAUACAGAGAAUGGAUGACAGAUGCUAAAGCUACCUUUCUUAAGUCUAACCAAAUUUUCUUAUUUUUCUACAUCUUCCCACCCCUUUAAAGAAUGUCUUGUCCUUCCCACUCUGCAGAAAGAAGUCAUGGAGAUUUAUCAUUCUGAUCCCUUGGGUUUGGGUGUCUGGUUAUGGUUAUUUUAUAAAUUGUACAUAGGUUGCCAUUUUAAGGUAUAAUUUGGAAUUGUUCAUAAUUUUGAAUAGAAAGGAAAAAGAUGGAAUAGAUUACUAAUUUUUUCUUGAAAAAAGAAUUGUGUAGCCAUAAUCUUACAUUGAUAGAAACCUAUAUACUUGAUGCAAAUUGAAGUUAUAAUUUCUUACAUUGGUAUAGAAUUAAUUUUGAUACAGAUUUAAGGAUUUCAUUAGUAUAAAUUUCUAUACUGACACAAAAUUUGAGAUUAAUAUUGUUACUCUUAGGUAGGCAUUGUGCCUAUGCAAAUCAUUUAAGACUACAAGGCUUAGACCCAGUUCUUCUAAUAAUUGCUAUUACAAACUGUGUAGGAUGAUUAAGUAAUGCAAGUUAAGGGCUAGAUAGCAAAUUUAUGGUUAUAUUAGAUUCUGAUUUAAUUAUAAUAAAGUUUUCAAUAUUACUCAAGUAGAAAUGGCUAAGAGUAGUUAAGGUUUACCAGUUCAGAUAUACUUUUACAUAGUCUUUAAAAACAUCAAAAAUCCACAGAAUGUGACAUUUAAUGUUAUUCCAUUAUUAAGGAUCAUUUGAUGAGAUGAGACAUGUCUGCUCCUGAUAGCUUCCCCACUCCAUUUCAAAAAAGAAUUUGAGCAUCAAAACCUUCAUACUGAGUAGCUUAAGUUAUGCCAAAGUAGCCAUAUUCACCUACAAACAAAAACUAUUGUCCAGGAAAGGAUACACAGUGCUGGAUAGUUGACAGUUAAGUUCAGCCAAGACAAAGCAAAUUAGCCCUUCAUUAUCCUACUUCAUUCAAGAUCUACUAAAUUGCUCUGGGCCAGAAGGCUGAAGACAGAUGCUCCAAAGUUAUAUGAAAUUAGGGGCUGACUAGGUAGUCAGCUGUUUCCACAAUUUGCUUAGAUUUUGGAAGCUAUGUUUUAUGCUGUCCCAUAUAUUCAGGUAAUAUUUAGUUCAUUCUUGGGUUUCUGACAGGGUUGAAGACUAAAUAUAGUCUCUUUUUUUAAAGAUUUAUUCAUUUAUUAUAUAUAAGUACACUGUAGCUGUCUUCAGAUACACCAGAACAGUGGAUCAGAUCUCUUUACAGAUAGUUAUGAGCCACCAUGUGAUUGCUGGGAAUUGAACUCAGGACCUAUGGAAGAACAUUUGGUGCUCUUAACAGCUGAGCCAUCUCUCCAGCCCUAGGUAUAGUCUCAUAAUCAAGUUGUUUAGCAUUGAGAGAGAUAAUAGAGAUUUGAAAGGAUGGUUUUCAGAUGGUAAUGCAAGCUAAAAUCAGAAUAUAAUUCAAGUAUAGAGUUAUUAGCUUUUUAGCUAGGAUAUGAUGUAGAGUAUUUUAACUAAUUGGCAUAUAUGAGAGACUGGAUAUUAAUUGUACAUCAUACUUUGUAAUUAUGUAUUUGUUAUGGUUUUGCUCAAUUUAUAUCUGAGAGAAAAGAGCCUUUUCGAUUGGAUAAAACAGGGGAAAUAAAGUGUGUUUGGCCUAAUGCUGCACAUAUUAUAAUGUUAAUUUUGGUCCCCAAAACUUCUUACACUAGUGUCUGCACUUAAGACACUGACAGACCCUGCCACCAAUUGAUUCUGACUGGUAAAUAAAAAUUCCAGCAGCCAGUGACUGGGCAGGGUAGACACAGAUGGGACUUUUAGGAUUCCCAGCCUUGGGAUAGAGAGGGAGAUGGGAAAGAGCCAUGAGAUGGUUGUAGGAUGGACCACACCAUGAAGAAGAGGAGGAUGAGAGGGACAAAAUGUAGCAUAAAUGUAAGACAGCCCCAUGGGGUUACCUGCAACAAAGAUAAAAUGUAUAUUUGGGUAUUAAUUCAAGUAUAUCAGAGGAGAGUGUUUACUAAGUGCAGGGAAGGCUUAAAAGUGCCGAGUUAUUGAGCUAAUCAAGACAUAUCAAAAUUAACUGGCGCAUGCAUGCCCGUGUGUGUGUGUGUGUGUGUGUGUGUGUGUGUGUGUGUGUCUGUGUCUGUGUCUGUGUGUGUGUGUGUGGUGUGUGUUUGUGUGUUUCAUUCCAAAAUCCAGAGGCUCUGGGGUUGGUUGGAAGAGUGACCCACUGAGAGGCAAAGCAGUAUCUGAUUCAUUGCUACAAUCUGUGUAGUUCUGUCAAUCUUGACUAUGUGAUGAGUCACCAAACAAUAAACUAAAACCUCACACACAUGACCCAGGUGGAAAAUCCAUCAGGAAUCCGAAAUCCCUGAUAAAGAUGAGAAGUUUGUAUGAUAAUAGUGCCCAGGCAGUGGCUCUGUUGGAGUAGGUGUGUCACUGUGGGUGUGGGCUUUAACACCCUCAUCUUAGCUGUCUAGAAUCUAGUAUUCCACUAGCAGCCUUCAACUGAAGAUGUAAAACUCUCAGUUCCUCCAGCAUCAUGCUUGCUUUGAUGAUAAUGGACUGAACCUAUGGACAUGCAAGCCACCCCCAAUUAAAUGCUAUUUGUAUAAGA